rnacentral:rRNA from 1 species
GAGUUUGAUCCUGGCUCAGAAUGUACGCUGGCGGCACGCCUAACACAUGCAAGUCGAGCGAGGUACUUGUACCUAGCGGCAGACGGGUGCGUAACAUGUGGGAAUCUGCCUUUUGGUUCGGAACAACACGGGGAAACUUGUGCUAAUACCGGAUAAGUCCUAACGGAGAAAGAUUUAUCGCCGAAAGAUGAGCCCGCACUAGAUUAGCUUGUUGGUAAGGUAAAAGCUUACCAAGGCUACGAUCUAUAGCUGAUUUGAGAGGAUGAUCAGCCACACUGGGACUGAGACACGGCCCAGACUCCUACGGGAGGCAGCAGUGGGGAAUCUUGCACAAUGGAGGAAACUCUGAUGCAGCGAUGCCGCGUGAGUGAAGAAGGCCUUUGGGUUGUAAAGCUCUUUUGUCGGGAAAGAUAAUGACUGUACCCGAAGAAUAAGGUCCGGCUAACUUCGUGCCAGCAGCCGCGGUAAUACGAAGGGACCUAGCGUAAUUCGGAAUUACUGGGCGUAAAGCGCGCGUAGGCGGUUAAGUAAGUUAAUUGUGAAAGCCCAAAGCUCAACUUUGGAAUUGCAAUUAAAACUACUUAGCUAGAGUUUAUCAGAGGAAAGCGGAAUACAUAGUGUAGAGGUGAAAUUCGUAGAUAUUAUGUAGAACACCAGUUGCGAAGGCGGCUUUCUGGGAUAACACUGACGCUGAGGUGCGAAAGUAUGGGUAGCGAAGAGGAUUAGAUACCCUCGUAGUCCAUACCGUAAACGAUGAUUGUUAGAUGUUGGAAAUUUAUUUUCAGUAUCACAGCUAACGCGUUAACAAUCGCCCUGGGGAGUACGACCGCAAGGUUAAACUCAAUGAAUUGACGGGACCGCACAGCGGUGGAGCAUGGUGGUUUAAUUCGAAGCUACGCGCAGAUCUUACACACUUGACAUGUCUGUCGCGAUUCCAGAGAUGGAUUCCUUCGGUUCGCGGACAGAAACACAGGUGCUGCAUGGCUGUCGUCAGCUCGUGUCGUGAGAAUGUUUGUUAAGUUCCCGCAACGAGCGCAACCCUACUCUAGUUGCAUCAGGUUAGCUGGGCACCUCUAUAGACUGUUCUGUGUUAGCACGAGCAGUUGAUUACGUCCAGAUCUUCUAUGCCUUACUGUUUGGCUACACGUGCUCAAUGGGCCAGGUGCACAAGUAGAAGUGCUGUACAUAACACCGCGAUAAGU